rnacentral:rRNA from 1 species
GACGUAGGGGACGAGCGUUGUCCGGAUUCAUUGGGCGUAAAGCGCACGUAGGCGGCUUCUUAAGUCAGGGGUGAAAUCCUGGAGCUCAACUCCAGAACUGCCUUUGAUACUGAGGAGCUUGAGUCCGGGAGAGGUGAGUGGAACUGCGAGUGUAGAGGUGAAAUUCGUAGAUAUUCGCAAGAACACCAGUGGCGAAGGCGGCUCACUGGCCCGGUACUGACGCUGAGGUGCGAAAGCGUGGGGAGCAAACAGG